CUUAAUUUCACGAAAUUAUUUCUUCUUGGCGGAUUAAAAGAAAGAGAAACCAAUGAUUAAGGAAGGUCAAGGGGAAGCAGAAUUUGAUGGACAAAAAUCUUUAAGCGUUUAUCAUGAGCCUAAAUGUCCUUCGAAAAUGGGGUCCAUACUGUUUUGCUCGCUGCUUUUUUGUCGGAUGGCAUGAGAGAAGGGGAGCUCUAGGGAAUGGCUGUAAGAACUCAGUUGAAGUUCUCCUCAGUGGGCUCAAGUCUGAAAA